UUUGUUGGGCACACUGAAAUGGCCCGGCUCAAAAAUGUACCAAAUAGGGCAUGGGCAGUGGAUCCCCAAAUGCCAAAGUUCAACAUUGAAAAAUGCGCAUGCCCCAAAUGUGGCCCUUUUGCCCCCAAACAGCCAGGCAAAAUCAUUCAUGUGAGGUAUCGCUGUACUCAGGAGAUGUUGCUGAACACAUAUUGUGGUGUUUUGUGAUAGUGACAUAUACGAGAACCUUUUAAUUCAUACCUGAAGUAAAAUGUGUGUGACAAAACAAAUGCAAAAAAAUGACUACCACAAAGUUUGACAAAGACUGGUGGUAGAUAUGGUGCAUGGAAAGAGUUAAAAUACUAGCAUCUGAAAUACCCUGGGGUGUCUAGACAAAUAGUAGAAUCUAUUUAGCAGUUUUUUCAUUACCUUUUAUAGAUGAGUAAAAGAUUUUUCAACUAAAAGUUAGAAACAGUCAUUU